GGAAUACGCUCUGGAAACGGAGAACAAAUCCCGAUGUACAGGAAGGAGGCAUCUUCUUUCUGUGAAACAUCCUUUAGGGGAUGGGGCGCGGAUGGACCUGCGGUGCAUUAGUUUGUUGGCGGGGUAAAGGCCCACCAAGACGAUGAUGCAUAGCCGGCCUGAGAGGGCGGACGGCCACAUUGGGACUGAGACACGGCCCAGACUCCUGCGGGAGGCAGCAGUAGGGAAUUUUCGUCAAUGGGCGCAAGCCUGAACGAGCGAUGCCGCGUGAGUGAAGAAGGCCUUCGGGUCGUAAAGCUCUGUUGCGGGGGAAAAAAGGCAGCAUCAGGAAAUGGGUGCUGACUGAUGGUGCCCCGCCAGAAAGUCACGGCUAACUACGUGCCAGCAGCCGCGGUAAUACGUAGGUGGCGAGCGUUAUCCGGAAUGAUUGGGCGUAGAGGGUGCGCAGGCGGUCCUGCAAGUCUGGAGUGAAACGCAUGAGCUCAACUCAUGCAUGGCUUUGGAAACUGGAGGACUGGAGAGCAGGAGAGGGCGGUGGAACUCCAUGUGUAGCGGUAAAAUGCGUAGAUAUAUGGAAGGACAUCAGUGGCGAAGGCGGCCGCCUGGCCUGUUGCUGACGCUGAGGCACGAAAGCGUGGGGAGCAAAUAGGAUUAGAUACCCUAGUAGUCCACGCCGUAAACCAUAAGGGCCAAGUGUUGG
rnacentral:rRNA from 1 species